AUUGAACGCUGGCGGCAGGCCUAACACAUGCAAGUCGAACGAGUGGCGGACGGGUGAGUAAUGUCUGGGAAACUGCCCGAUGGAGGGGGAUAACUACUGGAAACGGUAGCUAAUACCGCAUACCAUCGGAUGUGCCCAGAUGGGAAUAGCUAGGAGGUGGGGGAAUGGCUCACCUAGGCGACGAUCCCUCGCUGGUCUGAGAGGAUGACCAGGCACACUGGAACUGAGACACGGUCCAGUCUCCUACGUGAGGGAGCAGUGGGGAAUAUUGCACAAUGGGCGCAAGCCUGAUGCAGGCAUGCCGCGUGUGUGAAGAAGGCCUUCGGGUUGUAAAGCACUUUCAGCGGGGAGGCGUUACCCGCAGAAGAAGCACCGGCUAACUCCGUGCCAGCAGCCGCGGUAAUAC
rnacentral:rRNA from 1 species